GAAAAUAUCGUAUUCUCAGUCGGUGUUGAGGUUUCUCGAUAAGAGCUUUAUAAAAGUGUAACAGCGAAAAAGUCUUCAGAAAAACAAUCGACAAUGCGUGCAUCAUUCAAGUAGAGCUUUCAUCGUAUUCAGAAAUGCAAAUAAAUGUACACGGAAAAGAUUGGACAAUGAUUAACGUAUGAAAAUAGAUUUAUUUGAUGUUAAUUACACAUGAUAAAUCAAAAAUUGAGAAUCUGUUCAAAAGUUUCGUCGCGGACUCGAGUGUUCAUGAUUGUUACCCUGACCGGAAAGAAACUGAAAGUACGAAGUUUAUUUAUUAGGUGUUUCGGUUCCAGAUCUUUUAAGGCCUAGCCACUGACCAGACACGACACAGCCAGUUCCAGCGACAAUGCAGACGACAACACCUGCACCACGGUUGAGAUUUACCAAAUUCGUCCAACAGCAUUACGGCAACCUUCUUAAUAUCGACAACAUCAUCUCUCUUCGUACACAGCUCAACCAGCAACUAGCCCAGGUCCCAACACUUCACUGUUCGUGAAUUACUGCACCAUGGAUCAACAGCAAGAACUCUUGUAUCAAGUGACCCACACAACCACGACUUCGCGUACGACAUGUACCUACAACCGGCUCAGCAUCAUGGCCGCGACUUCUUCAUGCAGUAUUUUAACUACCGUGUACAAUUGACUACUUGUAUUCUCAUUCUUGUGUCUAUGAACUUCUCACUUUGAUAGCUAUAGGCUCCUUCGCUGUCAUCUUCUUGACUGCCAUACUUAUAUUUCUUAACACCCACGCAUACAUAUAGGCUUACACGCACAAACACAUUUUGUUCUCAUGACGGCCU
rnacentral:lncRNA from 1 species